rnacentral:rRNA from 1 species
UGGGGAAUUUUGGACAAUGGGCGAAAGCCUGAUCCAGCAAUGCCGCGUGUGUGAAGAAGGCCUUCGGGUUGUAAAGCACUUUUGUCCGGAAAGAAAUCCUUGGCUCUAAUACAGUCGGGGGAUGACGGUACCGGAAGAAUAAGCACCGGCUAACUACGUGCCAGCAGCCGCGGUAAUACGUAGGGUGCAAGCGUUAAUCGGAAUUACUGGGCGUAAAGCGUGCGCAGGCGGUUUGCUAAGACCGAUGUGAAAUCCCCGGGCUCAACCUGGGAACUGCAUUGGUGACUGGCAGGCUAGAGUAUGGCAGAGGGGGGUAGAAUUCCACGUGUAGUAGUGAAAUGCGUAGAGAUGUGGAGGAAUACCGAUGGCGAAGGCAGCCCCCUGGGCCAAUACUGACGCUCAUGCACGAAAGCGUGGGGAGCAAAACAGGAUUAGAUACCCUGGUAGUCCACGCCCUAAACGAUGUCAACUAGUUGUUGGGGAUUCAUUUCCUUAGUAACGUAGCUAACGCGUGAAGUUGACCGCCUGGGGAGUACGGUCGCAAGAUUAAAACUCAAAGGAAUUGACGGGGUCAUAGCUGUUUCC